GAAAACGAAAAAAGAUUCUCAUAAAAACUCCUUAUAUCACAACAAGAGAAAAGAAAAACAUUUUACACCACAAACUAUGUGAUCAUUUCACAAAUCACAAACCAAAGGUGUAUCUUUUAAACCACGUGACCAACGUUAUCCAAUAGGAGAGGCUCAGAUGAUCAAAGCGAAAUAGGAGAGGCUCAGAUGAUCAAAGCGAAAAGCCCGAUCAUUCAAUGAUUGGCCAAAGCCAACAAAAUAUAGACCAGGUUGGAUGAUCCAAAUUGUGACCGGAGAGCCAAAAUGGCCAAGCACAGAGACACGAAAACCGCAAAAUCAGUGGCAGAAGAGCUUGUAGAAAUGAUCAAAAGCAAAUAAAGUCUAAAUCACGAAAUUUAAGGAGCAAAACACCGAAAGAAGAAAACUUUGACGAGAAGAAUACUAAGUCCUCCAUGAAAAGCAUAUUCCACACUCAAAAGAAAACCCAGAAAAGCAAAGAAUUCCCCACAUAAGAAGGAGACACUCCUGUUCACGUAAACUCACUAAACAAAAAGGUCAGAUUGAUCAUUGACCUGAUCAAAUAUCAACCAGGCAAGCAAAAUCAACAUCCACCGUUCAGAAAACAGGGGAUAUAAAAAAAAGAAUCCAUCUUUUUGAGAAACCCAGAUCAUCAAAACCAUCAGAUAAUCAAAAUUGAAAAAAGUACACUCGAUCACGUAACCGUCAGAAGCAGAGAAUCCAAAGAAUAAAAAAACAGAGCAGAAUCACAUAUUUAAUACUACGUUUUUUCUUAUGGUAAUUCUAUAAUAUGAUCAUUACAGAUCAAGCCAGAAUAAUAUAGAGAUGAAAAUUUACAUAUCAGAAAGACCCAUGAUUCCUCAAAACCCAUCUGCAUCUGUCAAUAAUUGAAGGGAAUUACAACUUUUUUUCAGCCCAAAAAUAAGAAAACUGCAAAAUUUAGAUCAAAUUGAAGAACAGGGAAGUGGGUAUAUCUAAUCAGAGUCUCUAGUCUGUUUUAUCUAAAGGGACUUGAAAAAUAGAUUGUGACUGGGAUUUCAGAGAAGGUAAAAGAAAAGGCAGAGAUUUUUUUUUUUUUUGUGUUUUUGUGUUAGCUUUGUUAGCUUUAU
rnacentral:lncRNA from 1 species